UACGGAGGGUGCGAGCGUUGUCCGGAAUCACUGGGCGUAAAGGGCGCGUAGGCGGGCUGCCGCGUCCGGGGUGAAAUCCUCCGGCUCAACCGGGGAAGGGCCUCGGAUACGGGCGGCCUGGAGUGGGGUAGGGGCGUGCGGAACUGUGGGUGGAGCGGUGAAAUGCGUUGAGAUCCACAGGAACUCCGGUGGCGAAGGCGGCACGCUGGACCCUUUCUGACGCUGAGGCGCGAAAGCCAGGGGAGCGAACGGG
rnacentral:rRNA from 1 species